rnacentral:lncRNA from 1 species
UUUUGUCCCAGAAACAGUUGCAACGUCCAAUGUAGAUACAUCAUCAGAUUGGGUAACAUUUUAUAACUCUUAUACAUCAUAUAUAAAUUUUCUAUAUAAAUGAUUCAUACCUGUGAAAAUUUGUUGAUCGUACAAACAAGAAUUAUAACAAUAUUUUGAAAAUUAAGAAAAGCACUUUUGUAUACAAAUUGUCUACACACUGGACAUAACGAGAUGUUUAAUAUAUGAUUUAACAGUUUUUUCUAGCGAUUAUUGGUGUGUAAACUAAAGCGAUUAACUAACAAACUGAAUAAAAGUCCGAAGAAUUCAUCCUUUGGACUUUUAUUCAGUUGGUGAGUAAUCAUUUCAAUUCUUAGCAGAACAUUUGCAAUUUUAAUUGAUAUGUUUUUAUUCAUUGGCUUAUAUUUACUAUUAAAUUCUCAAUAGACAUGUCGUUACUAAGGAGUAAGCCGCGAUAUUGACUACAUUUAUGUGCGAUUAUUAUACAAUAUUAUCGAAAAUGUGAUGGCACAUAUAUCUAUUCCAAAAACGAUCUUUUGAUGAGAGAUUUUCGGAAUUUGAAGCGAACAAAUAACGAAAUAACACGAAGAUUGGGAGUUUUUAUUUGUAUCUUGGCAUUUUUGUCAUGACAGUAACUCGAUAAGAUUUAUCAUACUAUUUUUGGGAUUUUAUUUUAUUGAAAUGUUAUGCCGUUUUCUUGCUUCAGUGCACUGGUUCUUGCUCAACCAAAUAUUUAAUUUGGUUUUCAAUUUCAAUUAGCUUAGAACACCUAGAUAACAUGCAUGUAUUUAACGCAUGAAUAGAUCACAUUGAAAGUAGUUUCGAUAAUAUGGUUUAUCGAAGUGUAAGUUAAGUGAAAAAAUUUCUAAUUGACCGAUCAAAUUUAAUUAUCUUUAGAUAUGUAGAUCAUAUUUAAAUUAAAAGGUUUUGCAACUCAAAGACUUUCAUGAGCAUCAUUUUGACAAAUGUUUUGUGCAUAUUAGCGAUUAUCUUUUUCAUCGAUAAGAUUUAACUGUUGUCGAAAGUUACUUUCACGAUAUAUAUAUGAUUACUUCAAAGUCAAUUUUAAAUUAUGUCUUUCGAACAAAAUACAUGUAGUUUGAGUACAUUUUGUUAACAUAAAUAGAACACAUAGUAAAAAAAGAUGACUAAUCAUGCUUUAAUAAAUUUCAAGUUUACCAACGGAGUAGUGUAUAUGUAGCAUAUGAACCACAUGAAUGAUAUCAAGCGAAUUUUAAACAAUAUAAUAACAAAAAUGAAUGAAUAAUUAAAUUCAAAGCCCUCAUACACUUUAAAAAUAUCCCUCGCAUGCCUUCAAUUUCUAAAAAAAGGUGUUAUUUUUUUCAGGUAUCAGAAUCGAAAUAAUAGUAUCAGAUGCAGUCAGCAAAGUUUUUUGAGAAUUGUGAAGUUAGGAAACCAGGAAAUCAUAUCAACUAAUCAUGUAUCUAUUAUUUUUUCAAAAUCAAAAGUUGUCAUAAUAUCUUCAAACGGCCAUUGCCUUUAGAUAAAAGCAGACGUACAAUCUUCAGAAAUAAACCCAUCAUAGAUUCCAGACGAACGUUGCGUCUGUAAAAGACGCAUUAGUGACACUGCAUUAAAACAGUUUAAAAGCCCAAAUAUGUAACGAAAAUGAACAGCAUUGAAAACCCGAAAUUCCGAAAGGUUUGGUUAUAUUUAGCUUAUGAAGAAUUUAGCAGAC